CAACCCUCAAGCGUGGCUUGGCAUUGGGCACGGCCUGUCGGCCGGCCCCAAAGGCAGUGGCGGCGCCGUCAGGCCCUGAGCGUAGUACGCCUCCCGCUCCAGGGCCUCGCGGUGGCCGGCCAGAACCCCCCACUCCUC
rnacentral:misc_RNA from 1 species